CAGUAGCCGCGGGAAUACGGAGGGUGCAAGCGUUAAUCGGAAUUACUGGGCGUAAAGCGCACGCAGGCGGUUUGUUAAGUCAGAUGUGAAAUCCCCGAGCUUAACUUGGGAACUGCAUUUGAAACUGGCAAGCUAGAGUCUUGUAGAGGGGGGUAGAAUUCCAGGUGUAGCGGUGAAAUGCGUAGAGAUCUGGAGGAAUGCCGGUGGCGAAGGCGGCCCCCUGGACAAAGACUGACGCUCAGGUGCGAAAGCGUGGGGAGCAAACAGGAUUAGAUACCCCUGUAGUCCCUGUCUCUUAUAC
rnacentral:rRNA from 1 species